UUUGUUAAGCUAAGAUUUCUCUAACACAGGUGAAGCUCCCAGCUAUAAACCUUAAAUAUCCAAGCAGAAUGCCGAAUGUUUCUACAAGCAAGGAAUUUAGUGGGGCAAAUAAGCUUUCCUUUCCACCUGUGCCUGCUCAGAGAAAAAUUGAAGCAGUAAACUUUAGCAAAUUAAUUAACAAUGGUUAUGGGACUGACUGGUUUCAGCAGUGCACUGGAUGGGAAAAAAAGAUUCAAGAACCAUCAGAAAAUAGUGAACAGUCCAAAGAUUCAGAGCCAUCUCAGUCUGAACCACCACCUGCAAGCAAUGAGUUAAAGCCACCAUUUCAGGGAUGUAGUAAGUAACUUGAAAGACUGUUAGGGAAAGUAAACCCUUGUAUGGCCUAUGUAGUGCACUAUUUACAUGUCUGUUAGAUUACUUUUGUGGUUGAACUCACCCCUGAUUGAGAAGUUAAUUUUGUUUAUAAGAUGGAUGAACUUCAUUGUGCUUGAUUACAGCAAAUUUUAAAGUACAAGCAACAGCUGUUAGUGCUUAUUCCUAGACUUUUUGUUAAUAUAAUAAACAAAGCAAAACUGCAUUUUUGUCCUACA
rnacentral:lncRNA from 1 species